AAUCUGGUACUCUCGUACCAGAUUGCGUGACGCGACGGCGGAGACUGCCACCCGGCGCACGCGG
rnacentral:ncRNA from 1 species